rnacentral:misc_RNA from 1 species
CCCCCUGUGGACUUGGUGUUGGGGACCGGCGACAAUCACCUGUCGCCGCCCCCUAAAUGAAUUGGCGGCCCCGUCGCGGCCCUCCUCUGCGUAGUAGCAUACACCUCGCAACAGGAGCCCGUCGGUGGCCACUGCCGUAAAACACCCCAAACUUUUUUAGAGUUGACCUCGAAUCAGGUAGGAAUACCCGCUGAACUUAA